GCCAUAGGGACCGAUUAAUGACCCUACCUACAUCUUCCCAUGGACUUGCUCCCAAAAACGACGCAAAAACAGGACGGCAAGCCUCUUUCUACCUCCCAGAAGAGAGUGAGGAGGUGCCCACAAAGGAAGUCUGCGACCUAGUGGAGCACUUUUCGAUGAAAAAAAUCUUCGGUGGAUUAACGCCAACUGCCAGCAGACGAUGUGGAGAAGGCAUCUACUAAAGUAUUAAUAUAAUAUAUAUAUAGUAUAGUCUGUAUCAUUAACGGUGAUGAAGGAACAUUUCUAAAAGCUCUUGGGAGGAAAAAUCUACAUAGACACCUGCUUUGCGAUCAUAUCUGAAGAACCUAUCUUCAUGGGUAAUACUUUUAGAGCAGCAACUGUUAUUCAAGUUAUUCAAAUGAAUUAAUUCCUUCUUUGUUUUAUUUCACAACGACUAAAAUGCGGUUUAAACAUAUCGUUUAGCUUAGCUAAUAAAAUUCAUGCGUUUCGUUUAAAAUUAAGAGCAUCAUAUUAAUUAAACACAUAAGAAAAGACAAACUA